AAAAAAACAAAUGUGAAAAGGAGCAAAACCUUUAUAUAUGCCUUUAUAUAUAGAUCCAUCUCUCUCCUUUGCUUCUCAGGCAAAUUUCUUCCAAGGACAAUUGUCUCACUUCCUUAUUCUCCACUCACUAUGCCCACAUCUGCAGUCUGUCUCCUCUCUCCUCCAGACCUUUGAAACUGCACAGUGGUCACCGGUCAACUCCAUAUUGACAGUUAUACAAGAUGAGUAAGUUCCGGAGAGCUGCUGUACACCAUGGUGCCUAAAGUUAGCAAUAAGUGUUGAUAUGAUGUCUGGAGCUGGAGCAUGAGCUGGAGCAUAUAACCAUGAGAUGACAAGCAAAAAGAUAAAAGUCAACACUGUUAAAAUGGUGGAGAAGAAUGGAAAGAGCCUUGGUCCCUGAUGGCCUCUCGGAAUAGCUAAACCAAUGCUGGAAAAUGCCUACCUUUGAACUUAUUGUUAUUUAACAAAAGUAAAUUGUAUUUGCUUGUCAUUUUGUCACUUAUAAUCAAAUCCACUCUUAAGUACAACUUAAAUAUUAAGAAGUAUGUUUUUGUGUGUAUGAAUGUAUAUGCCUUUUAGUUUUUCCUCUUCCAUUUAUUAUGAAUGAUGAGGUUUGCUUCAAUAUAUAAAUGUAGAUUUCUUCUCAUGCCCAGCUACCAUUGGAAGUUUUCAGGGAGAAAAAUGGAGAAAGAAAAGGUGAAAACAAAAACGACAGAAAAGAAGAGGUUGUGGGAAAGAAGUGUAGGAAGCGUUAUCUUGAAAGAAAAACUAGAAGUAAAUUUUAAAAAGAGACAAAUUUAAAGUACAAUAGUAAACUUGAAAAUGUAAUAUAAAUAUAAUGUAUAUGCCUAAUUAUCUGCAUUAGUCUCUGUGUGUAUUAAUUUAUUCAAAAAUAUUUUUAAAUGACUAUGAUAACAUUGAUUUGCAAAGAUGUGCAUUUCUGGAAGAAUGUGAUGAAGCUCAGAGGAAUGAAGGCACAUCUGAUGAUGUGUGUGCAUGUUUCCACAAGAUGUGUCUGCCCACUCUAUGGAGGCUCUCUUUUGAGAAUUCUCAGCCAUAUCAUAGUUUUCUCCAACUUGUCAAAGUGAACUGUGUAUGUAAAAGAAAAGUGCUCCUUGGGGUGAGCAGGGUGAUACAUGAGGCCUCAAAAACUCAGGUGAUACCAGCCUGAAAGAUGGCGCUGUGUGGGACAUGCUUUGCAGACUCUCAGAGCAAUGUCUUCCUUCCAUGAUGCCAGGAUGGGACAGGCCUGGUGACCAGUGUGCACCAAACUUUUAAAAGAGAAAAGAACUGAAUUGUACAUUUGUUGGUGAAAAUUAAUGUUAUUCUUACAGCAUUUAUAAUUUGAAAAUAAAGGGGGAGAUAAAUUGUAUUUGAAAAGGCCCUACAUAGUCAAUCUUGUCACUUCCUUCAGAAAAAAAUAUGUAUUCCUCUAAUUCCUUCCCUCCCAUAUAUCCUCACCUCGUCACCUCUAGGAGAAGUGUACUCCGAAAAUUCUUUUAAUGGAUGUAUACAUAAUAUACAUUUAUUGCCAAAAACACAGAAAUUUAUUUUUUAAAAUUUACCUAUCCUCAGAGGUAUACACUGGGUACAUUUUUGUGUAUUUCCUUUCAAUCAUGUGUCUGCAUGUCUAUUUAUCUCUCUUUUCUUAUCCUCACAAAAUUGUAUCCUACUGUAUAUACUGAUUUGUAUCAGGCUUAUUUCUUAUAAUUUUGUAUCAUGAUUGUGUGCUUGGAGAAGUGUAUUUCCAUAGGUUCAGGGGCAUUUUCUGGGAAACAAAGUAACGAAGAGUCUUUCACACUCCAGUAACUAAAUGAAAGGGGGAGGCAGGUAGAAAGAGGGAUGCAUGUUAAAUAUAGAAACCACAAAUAAUUGAAUGAUGCUGGUAAUAAACAAGUCAUUAGUCUCGACUAGGGCUUGCAAACUGAUGGCUUGUCAGCCACAUCUGGCCUACAGAUGUUUUUGGUUUAGUUUAUAAAGUGUUGGUUUUUUCAAAAAUUGAGUUGGUGGCCAAAUUUAUAAAUUGAUAGAUUUCAUGUAUGAAACCUAAUGUUACAUUUUUGAAAAGCCAGAAGAAUUGACAAAUCAAGGGCCAUAUUCCUACAUGGCACACAUUGGCUGGAAGCAAUAGUGAAUACUAAGUGAAAUGGAGUGUGUGUUCUCUUGUCUACGCAUUAUGUUAUGGUCAACCUGGCUUCUACAGGCCUUUGCAAAACUAGGGGCAAGUCUAGAUGCAGUUUCUUCGAAAUUGUUUAUUAAUUAUCAUUACUGUUUUCAUGAGAGCAUAACCUCUUCUUGCGUCCAACUAGACAGCAGAUCGGGGAUGAGUUCUUCUUCUGUGUGGCCAUCACGUCUUACUGACUUACAUUAGAGGUUCUCAGUAAAUACUUGGAAAUGGCCAUACUCUUUGAUGGACAAGAAAUUUUAGUCUAAAAUAUUUUAGCACAGGAUAUGAUAAAUUGAAAGUAUAUUUUAAAAUAUCAUAUUCUCAAAUGAGCAACAUAAUAGCAGUAACAAGUUACAGCUUCCAUCAAUUUUCUUUAUGUAUUUAUUGAACUAAUGAGAGGUCUCAUUGAAAAUGAUUUUCAUUUAAACAAAAACUCUAGUUUUAUAGUCAACUUGCCAAAAGAACAGGUCUUCUUUUCAUGCUAGGCGCAUAUGGGUGGUGGGGGUAAAGAGUAUGGCAGGAGGGCUAUUAAAAAUUGUAAUUUGUAAGCAAUAUAGCAGGGUUGACCUUUGUAUCAAAUGUUACAUCUAGUCCUUCUGAGAUGAAGAUCAUAUUCCCAAGUAAAUAAAGGUAUUCAUCAGAAUGAA
rnacentral:lncRNA from 1 species